rnacentral:rRNA from 1 species
GAUGAACGCUGGCGGCGUGCCUAAUACAUGCAAGUCGAGCGAACAGACGAGGAGCUUGCUCCUCUGACGUUAGCGGCGGACGGGUGAGUAACACGUGGAUAACCUACCUAUAAGACUGGGAUAACUUCGGGAAACCGGAGCUAAUACCGGAUAAUAUAUCGAACCGCAUGGUUCAAUAGUGAAAGACGGUUUUGCUGUCACUUAUAGAUGGAUCCGCGCCGCAUUAGCUAGUUGGUAAGGUAACGGCUUACCAAGGCAACGAUGCGUAGCCGACCUGAGAGGGUGAUCGGCCACACUGGAACUGAGACACGGUCCAGACUCCUACGGGAGGCAGCAGUAUGGAAUCUUCCGCAAUGGGCGAAAGCUUGACGGAGCAACGCCGCGUGAGUGAUGAAGGUCUUCGGAUCGUAAAACUCUGUUAUUAGGGAAGAACAAAUGUGUAAGUAACUAUGCACGUCUUGACGGUACCUAAUCAGAAAGCCACGGCUAACUACGUG